rnacentral:rRNA from 1 species
UACGUAGGCAGCAAGCGUUGUUCGGAGUUACUGGGCGUAAAGAGUGCGUAGGCGGUGGCCUAAGUUCGGUGUGAAAUCUCCCGGCUUAACUGGGAGGGUGCGCCGGAAACUGGGCUGCUGGAGUGUGGGAAAGGCAAGCGGAAUUCCUGGUGUGGCGGUGAAAUGCGUAGAUAUCAGGAGGAACACCGGCGGUGUAGACGGCUUGCUAGACCAUAACUGACGCUGAGGCACGAAAGCGUGGGUAGCAAACAGG